rfam:Gossypium hirsutum cultivar TM-1 unplaced genomic scaffold scaffold477.1, whole genome shotgun sequence
UGUUAAAAAUUUCAUCCAUUUAUACUGUUAAAAACUUGUGUGGCUGAUGGAAUAACCAAACAGUUACACUUGGCAUGCUAUGUGUAGCUCAUGCUGACAUACAAGGACCAGUUUUUAACAGUAAAAGUUGCUGGAAUUUUUAACA